UCUGACUUACCUGAAGAGUGAGGAAAGGGUUAAGCACCUGGGGGAGGGGGCUCAGGCAUUCAGCCAAUAAAAUGCAGAUGGGAAUUUCAAACCAAGAGAAAGGGGGUUUUCUUCCUCUUUUCUUUGUUUGAGAUCAGAGCAGUUUCUUCCAGGUAUGGAGGGAGACAGGCUUUCCCAAGAAUGGACUUCUUGAAAUGUGAGCAAAGAAAGCCUGAAUGUGACCAAAUAUAGUACUGUCUUACUGUACUACAGUCAGCUGACAGACAAAGACAUUGGCACGAAAUGAAGGAAUAUGUGUUAACAAGAGUUCUUAUAAACCAAUUACUUAAAAUAUAACACAUGGACUUACAGCUGCA